rnacentral:rRNA from 1 species
UCCGUAGGUGAACCUGCGGAAGGAUCUUUA